GACGAACGCUGGCGGCGUGCCUAAUACAUGCAAGUUGAGCGCUGAAGGUUGGUACUUGUACCAACUGGAUGAGCAGCGAACGGGUGAGUAACGCGUGGGUAAUCUGCCUUUGAGCGGGGGACAACAUUUGGAAACGAAUGCUAAUACCGCAUAAAAACUUUAAACACAAGUUUUAAGUUUGAAAGAUGCAAUUGCAUCACUCAAAGAUGAUCCCGCGUUGUAUUAGCUAGUUGGUGAGGUAAAGGCUCACCAAGGCGAUGAUACAUAGCCGACCUGAGAGGGUGAUCGGCCACAUUGGGACUGGGACACGGCCCAAACUCCUACGGGAGGCAGCAGUAGGGAAUCUUCGGCAAUGGACGAAAGUCUGACCGAGCAACGCCGCGUGAGUGAAGAAGGUUUUCGGAUCGUAAAACUCUGUUGGUAGAGAAGAACGUUGGUGAGAGUGGAAAGCUCAUCAAGUGACGGUAACUACCCAGAAAGGGACGGCUAACUACGUG
rnacentral:rRNA from 1 species